UAUUUUUUGGUUUGCUUUAUACCACAACAGUUGUCACACCAUUCCUGCUUGAUACAACAAUUACUGUGAAAUGAGGAACAGUGACAAGAUUUCAGCAAUGGAAACAUCUUCCAGGAUACUGGAGGAUAUAAGGAUGGGAAGACUCUCUGCUGUUAAUUGUUCUGGGAAAGUACCUGUGAUUGUUUUUCCUUACCUUCUAACCAGUAUGAUAAAAAGAAGCAAACGAUGGCAUCUCACUCUAUUGUCCAGACUGGAAUGC